rnacentral:rRNA from 1 species
CCUACGGGUGGCAGCAGUGAGGAAUAUUGGUCAAUGGACGUAAGCCUGAACCAGCCAUGCCGCGUGCGGGAAGACGGCUCUAUGAGUUGUAAACUUCUUUUGUACAAGAGUAAAGCUGAAUACGUGUAUCCCGCUGUAUGUACCUUACGAAUAAGGAUCGGCUAACUCCGUGCCAGCAGCCGCGGUAAUACGGAGGAUCCAAGCGUUAUCCGGAUUUAUUGGGUUUAAAGGGUGCGUAGGCGGAUUGAUAAGUUAGAGGUGAAAGGUUGUGGCUCAACCAGGGAAGUGCCGCUAAUACUGUGGGGCUAGAGAGUAGGUGAGGCAGGCGGAAUGUAUGGUGUAGCGGUGAAAUGCUUAGAGAUCAGACAGAACACCGAUUGCGAAGGCAGCUUACCGGGGCUCAACUGACGCUCAUUCACGAAAGUGUGGGUAUCGAACAGGAUUAGAUACCCGUGUAGUC